UUUAAUUCGAUCGGUUUCGGUUCAAAAGUAACACUAGAUUUUGGAAGAACUGAAUUCGAAUGCGCUGGUACUGCAGUGGGCUGAUUUUCUGUUUUCCAAGCUACUCUCUCACUGUGUCUGCGAGUCUCCGAUCUCUCAAAACCCUUUUACACUCCUGUGUGCAGCAGAUCGCAAGAAACCUUAGGGUCAGUGACCUCUCAAUUCGGUUUCAAAAGAAGGUAGCCUAAGGUUCUGGCGUCUUAUAUCGUCCCCAUUCAAGAGCUAUAGACUCUUCAAGUGAGCAAAACGUGAAAAGGAAGCAUAGUCUUCAUUACCUCUUGGUGAAGCACCUGCAUUGCAACCUCUACUGCCUCUACUAGCCCUUUUGUAUUUAUCCCACAUUUCCAUCGUGCUAUGCUAUCAGGAAUUGAAGAUUCUCCUGCAGACUUUGCUUUCUUCUACGAACGCUACCUCUUCUACAGCCUUCUGAACAGUUGAUAAACCAAUCACCGUGUCUGAAGAUGAUAGAAAUUCUCAAUCUAAUGCUCUGCACCGACUUCUAUUUUUGUGAAUCCAUUCAAUAGCUUCAAAGCCUAGACCCAUAAACCCAUAAAAUUCCUAACUGAUUGCUGUUAAAAUAGAAUUUUCUGCGUCACAGUAGCCAUGACCAAAAUUUUCCAUCAAACUUGAAUGCUCAACUCAGCCUUAUCUCUAUUUAAUGGGGUCGGCUACAUGGAUACUUUCCUGCCAAUCAGUUCUAUUCAAAACCAUACUUGUUACAAGGCCUAAUUAUGCAUGUUUUAUCUUUGGGCUUGAGUAUGUACUAGUAAGAUGCAUUUAUAAUAAAAAUUCCUCAAAUCAGUUAAAAUAUGAGUAGAUAAAAAUCAAGAAAUUGGGACUUGACACUUCUUGUUCCCAUGAAAAUCUUAGCAAAAUUAAUAGCAACCGCUUACACCUGUUCAUUCAAUGCUUAGGUUCACGGGUUUUCUUCAAGUUCUCUCAUAUACAGUCAAUAAUAACUCAGUUCAUUAAUGUUUUUCUUGUUUGAUUCCAACUCCUCAAGCCUCGUCAAAGAUUGUGGUGAAAAGGAGAAGUGGGAAAAAACCAUGAUCAGAGUAGGGAAGAUCAAGCAGUAGUCCAAUGUCCUUGAAAAACCCCUUAGCAAGGGCAAACAAGAAGUAGCCUUUUCAUUUUCUUCUCUGCAAUAUAUGCAUAGUUUUUAAGGCACUGGUAAGGCGACGCCUUAGCAGCGCCUUGGCACUGAUGCGGUCUAGAGAUGGUAAGGCAGUGCUCCGCCUUAU